GCACUGCUGAGGAGUCCGAUAAAAAGGACGAAACAGCUGUCCUGUAC
rnacentral:hammerhead_ribozyme from 1 species